rnacentral:rRNA from 1 species
UACGUAGGGACCAAGCGUUGUUCGGAUUUACUGGGCGUAAAGGGCGCGUAGGCGGCCUAGCAAGUCACUUGUGAAAUCUCCGGGCUUAACUCGGAACUGCCAAGUGAAACUGCUGGGCUAGAGUGCAGAAGGGGCAAUCGGAAUUCUUGGUGUAGCGGUGAAGUGCGUAGAUAUCUGGAGGAACACCGGUGGCGAAGGCGACAUCCUGGACCGGUAUUGACGCUGAGGCGCGAAAGCCAGGGGAGCAAACGGG